CAAAACCCGGAAGGAACCGAACGGGUCGCGAAACUAAUUUCAGUGUAAAGAUCCUGGACUAUAUUUAGUCUCCUGAUUUAACAAUUAAAAUCAGACUGACCGCAUCGCCAAAAAUGGAUACACUUUCUCUCCCUUUGUUGAAUAAGGACGACCCGCGUUUUCAACUGAAAGUGGAAAACAGGCUGAAAAAUAUAUUUGUAACGCAGAUAGAGGACCACGGCAAAGAAGAGGGAGAGAAUGUCAAGCACAUCCCUGUCAUAACAGAGUCAUCUAACAGGAUCUUGAAAACGGGUGUCAACACUCUUCAAAGGACACUAGUGCUGAAGACACAGGUGCGGCUGGAUGAGGUAAACAGGCAGUUAAUUCAGAAACGGCUUGAGUUCAAUGAUCGCAUGCAGGCUCUGGAACAGAGAAGGGCAGCACUUCUGGAAAAACAGGCAGAAAUAAAAGAGAGGGCAAUGAAGUUUGAAAAAUUUGUGGAGGAAAAUGAAGUCAAGCGACAGCGUGCUCUAAAGAAAUAUCAACAAGAGAAGAAAGAGAAUGAGCUGAGGGAAGUGGAGAAAUCCAAACUACAUGAAGAACUAGAGCAGUUUCAGAUCAGACAUCAGCAACUAAAAGGACGGGUUGAUAAAUAUAAAAUUUAUGAAAAGUAUAUGAUGAAGAUUUUAGAUUUACUACCAGAAGCUUACUCAGAAUAUGGUUCAGAUUCUUUGGUGAUGCCUAUCAUCAGACGCCACGAGACCUUGUCCAUCACUCAGCAGGACUUGUUGCAACGUCUCACCAGUCUGACAGAGGAACUACACCAGGGCCAGUGCAACCUGGAUUCACUUAAACUGGAGCACAGCACCAACAGACUCAUGUCCAACAAAGAAUUGUCAGAACUGCGGACGCAGUGGGAUCAGAUCAGAGAGAAGAAUGAACAAAUGGAGAUGACCCUGUAUAAUCACCAUGACCAGUCCCGAAAUCAGGUCUGACAUAUAACCUGGAACACACGUUUUUGUUCCCCCACAUAAUGUCUUAUGCAGAAAGUGUAAAGCUUCGUUUCUCACGUGUGAGUAGAUUGAGGAGAUUGGGUGUCUUUUGCUAGCAGUGAAAAAUAUUGCACAGCAAUGCCACCUCCAGCACUAUGGACCUUUACACGAGAUGGACUCCCUGACCAUGAUGGACAUGAUAAAGGAGUUCAUUCUGGAGACGCUGGAUACAGAGAG